GACGAACGCUGGCGGCGUGCUUAACACAUGCAAGUCGAACGGAAAGGCCCGGCGCUUGUUUGUUUCUCGAUUGCCGAGCGGGGGAGUAACACGUGUGGAACCUGCCCUUGUCUUUGUGGUAUCAUCAGGAAACACGGGCGAUUAUCGGAGAUGAUCUUCUGCUGCACGUGGUGGGUUGGAGAGUGUCGGCGGUGGGGUAUGGACUCGCUGGUUAUCAGCUGGUUUGGGGGGUAGUUGCUUACCAAGGCUGUGACGGGUAGCCGGCCUGAGAGGGUGGCCGGCCUCAUUGGGCCUGCGAUAGGGCGCAGACUCGUAUCGGAGGCAGCAGUGGGGAAUAUUGCACAAUGGGCGGAAGCCUGAUGCAGCAACGCCGCGUGCGGGAUGACGGCCUUCGGGUUGUAAACCGAUUUCGACUGUGACGAAGAGUGCGUGACGGUAAUGGGUCAAGAAGCACCGGCUAACUACGUG
rnacentral:rRNA from 1 species